ACGCGCGACGCCUCCCCACUGUCCUCCGAACUGAGUUUCUCGAAAGGGAUGUCUAUCGCAGACAGCUCGUCUUUUCCUGGUUACCCCUCCAUAUGUCGCUCUCGAGCCUGUAACAGGACCUCGUGAAUGCCGCAGCUGGAUCAUGGUGGGGAAUGCGUCCUGUAUAGGAUUUGCCAGGCAGACGGGUAACAACGUUCGGAACUUAACCCUAAGCUUCAUAUCUGGUCAUCAAGUCUUGCGCUGUUGUCGCUCGAAUCGUCUUUUAUGCCGUGAAAGCGCCCGACUGUUGUGCCCACUGAAAAGUGGGAGGUUCGACUGAAGGCGCUUGGAUCGACGGACAGGCGAGGAGGGCAGUCCAGUCACCUGUUGGUGCGCGAGAGGAUUGGUGCCAUAGGUAGUGUAAGUCCCUCUGCAGGACACCUGUCAGCCCUUUCCACUGGAACCAGCACAUCGGUCAACAGUAGACCGUCUAGGCGAUGCGAUAAAGCUCGAGUGUUUGGAGAUGGAACUAGCCUGGCCACUUGGUCAAACUGCUGGCUUGCCCAUGGCACGCAGCUGAGGAGUGGAGCUUCAUAUUGACCACAAACAGUCAGUCUAAGAACUUCAUACAACUCCUGAGUUAUCGUUUGUCGGAACCGCCAGCUAGGAUAAUUCCAGCUGGUGCAGCAGACAACUUAUGGAAACAUACAGAAGUUCUUUGACCGACACCUUUAGUCAAUCUGAUAGCCCCCGGCCCUCUGAAGCUGUUUAUGCUUUCGUGCAUUGACACACUAAUUCCAUCCACCCAACCCCGUGGCCCUUUCGCUCACUGGACCACACCACAGCACUCGCUCCCGGUGUGUGACGCUCCGCGUCUGGUCUGACCCAGCGCAUUAACCUCCAGCCACGGGUCACAGCCCUUGGUCAGGAUGGACGCCAGCACGCCAGCAAGGGCCAGUAGGCCUUAGCAGGUCCCUCGGAUCGGCCGCAAGGUUGAACUUGAGAUGAAAGGGUGGUUUUUAUGGAUGUAUUUUGUCCACCCGUUAAUGCCCUCCAUACCUCUCGCUGGCGAGAAAUUUGGAGAGGAAUCAAAAACUUGUCCUAGGGGGCAGCGCGAAUCACACAGAAGGAGUUCCCUUGUCGGCGUCAGUGCGCUUCCGGAUUGUGUUCUGCCAUGACGGCCUUUCAGCAGAAUCGUGUCGGCGAAGGUAUAAGAUCAUUGCAGAACUGUCAGCUCACGAAACAGACUUCACCUUUGCAAUUCUCACUGCUGUGAAACGAUGCUCGUAGUUGAUGUUGGAAGCAGUGCCAGGACCCAUCUCGAGUUGGAGUCAAAGUUUCGUGCUUGUCUGGUACUGUCAACGACUAUUCUACGCAGCUGAAGAUCUCGCCUUUGAGUAGCAAUGGCAAGGCUGGGUUGUAUUGUUGGAUCUAGGACAGGCCUUGUUGGGUGAGGUAGUCCUGGCUGUCCUCUCUCCUGAAAAUGGUGCGGAGGACAGCCCCCC
rnacentral:telomerase_RNA from 1 species